UACGAAGGGGGCUAGCGUUGCUCGGAAUCACUGGGCGUAAAGGGUGCGUAGGCGGGUCUUUAAGUCAGGGGGGAAAUCCUGGAGCUCAACUCCAGAACUGCCUUUGAUACUGAGGAUCUUGAGUUCGGGAGAGGUGAGUGGGACUGCGAGUGUAGAGGUGAAAUUCGUAGAUAUUCGCAAGAACACCAGUGGCGAAGGCGGCUCACUGGCCCGAUACUGACGCUGAGGCACGAAAGCGUGGGGAGCAAACAGG
rnacentral:rRNA from 1 species